rnacentral:rRNA from 1 species
CGCGCGCCCCUGCGCGCGUGGCGUACGGCUCAGUAACGCGUGGUUAACCUGCCCUCGCGAUGGGGAUAACCUCGGGAAACUGAGGAUAAUCCUCAAUAGGCGAUUGGAUCUGGAAGGACCUUUCGCCAAAAGGGACAGGGCGAAUGGGCUCUGUCUGCGCGAGGAUGGGACUGCGUCCCAUCAGGCAGUUGGUGGGGUAAUGGCCCACCAAACCUAUAACGGGUACGGGCCGUGAGAGCGGGAGCCCGGAGAUGGGCACUGAGACAAGGGCCCAGGCUCUACGGAGCGCACCAAGCGCGAAACCUUCGCAAUGCGCGAAAGCGUGACGGGGCUAUCCCGAGUGCUAGCCGCUGAGGCUAGCUUUUGCUCAGUGUAAGAAGCUGAGCGAAUAAGUGGGGGGCAAGACUGGUGUCAGCCGCCGCGGUAAUACCAGCUCCACGAGUGGUCAGGACGGUUAUUGGGCCUAAAGCGUCCGUAGCCGGCCCAGCAAGUUUAUGGUGAAAUCCGGCGUCUCAAGCGUCGGA